rnacentral:rRNA from 1 species
CACGUAGGGUGCGAGCGUUGUCCGGAAUUAUUGGGCGUAAAGAGCUCGUAGGCGGUGUGUCGCGUCGGCCGUGAAAACCUGCAGCUUAACUGUGGGCUUGCGGUCGAUACGGGCAUCACUGGAGUUCGGCAGGGGAGGACUGGAAUUCCUGGUGUAGCGGUGAAAUGCGCAGAUAUCAGGAGGAACACCGGUGGCGAAGGCGGGUCUCUGGGCCGUAACUGAC